CUUUUAUUGUACUCUACGCUUGCUUCAUCUGCAUCGCAAGAUGUUUAUGAAUACAUGCGGACGUUCACCAAAUGCAUGAGCAAUUUAGGUUUUAAUAGAUCGGCGUUCAUCGAAGCUAUGGAAACACACCCACUUGACCAUCCAAAAUUGCACACAUUUAGUCAAUGCGUUUUGAAGGGGAUCGGUGCCUUAAAAGAAGAUGGGACACUUGAUUUUACGGAAUGUAAAGCAAAAUGUGAGAAGGAGCAUAGUAUGGAUUGCUCAUUCAUACAGAAUGUGAAAAGUUUGAAGGAGAUAAUGACCACCAAACACAGCAAGACCCUAACGAAUUCUCGAAGGCGAAGAAAGGAUGUACGCGGAUUACAGGGGUGGACGAAAAGUUUCUGGAUAAGGUGUCAUUAAAACAAGCGUUUAAGUACCCGAAAAUGCACCAGUUCACUGAAUGUGUUUUGAAAGCGAUUGGUGGUUUGAAAGAAGACGGUACACUAGACUUUGACACAUGUCAAGAGAAUUGUGACGAAUCGGGUAAAAUAGAAUGUUCAUUCAUUGAGGACUGUGGAAAGAGAAGGGAAGAUACAAACCAAAACACAUAUGUUAGCAUCUUUUGGUGUUUGGAUCAAUGUUUCUAUCUGUAUGUUAAUAAAGUACGUAUGUGAUAAACAUUUAAACAAAUAUGUAGUACAUAGCUUAAUCUGUUCAUCCCAUCAACUCCAACUUUGGAAUGCAUGCCUUACUGUAACUUUUCUUUUAUAACAACAACAACACAAUUUGAAUAAAGUACUGACAU